AUUGAACGCUGGCGGAAUGCUUUACACAUGCAAGUCGAACGGCAGCACGGGGCAACCUGGUGGCGAGUGGCGAACGGGUGAGUAAUACAUCGGAACGUGCCCAAUCGUGGGGGAUAACGUAGCGAAAGUUACGCUAAUACCGCAUACGAUCUACGGAUGAAAGCGGGGGAUCGCAAGACCUCGCGCGAAUGGAGCGGCCGAUGUCAGAUUAGGUAGUUGGUGGGGUAAAGGCUCACCAAGCCAACGAUCUGUAGCUGGUCUGAGAGGACGACCAGCCACACUGGAACUGAGACACGGUCCAGACUCCUACGGGAGGCAGCAGUGGGGAAUAUUGGACAAUGGGCGGAAGCCUGAUCCAGCCAUGCCGCGUGUGUGAAGAAGGCCUUUAGGUUGUAAAGCACUUUAAGCGGGGAGGAGGCUACCUGGGAUAAUACCCUGGAGUAGUGGACGUUACCCGGCAG
rnacentral:rRNA from 1 species